GAAACGUGAAGGGCCAGAGGUGAAACGUGAAGGGCCAGAGGUGAAACGUGAAGGGCCAGAGGUGAAACGGGCCAGAGGUGAAACGUGAAGGUGAAACGUGAAGGGUCAGAGGUGAAACGUGAAGGGUCAGAGGUGAAACGUGAAGUGUCAGAGGUGAAACGUGAAGGGUCAGAGGUGAAACGUGAAGGGUCAGAGGUGAAACGUGAAGGGUCAGAGGUGAAACGUGAAGGGCCAGAGGUGAAACGUGAAGGGCCAGAGGUGAAACGUGAAGUGUCAGAGGUGAAACGUGAAGGGCCAGAGGUGAAACGUGAAGUGUCAGAGGUGAAACGUGAAGUGUCAGAGGUGAAACGUGAAGUGUCAGAGGUGAAACGUGAAGUGUCAGAAGUGAAACGUGAAGGGCCAGAGGUGAAACGUGAAGGGCCAGAGGUGAAACGUGAAGGGCCAGAGGUGAAACAUGAAGUGUCAGAGGUGAAACGUGAAGGGUCAGAAGUGAAACGUGAAGGGUCAGAGGUGAAACGGGCCAGAGGUGAAACGUGAAGGGUCAGAGGUGAAACAUGAAGGGUCAGAGGUGAAACGUGAAGGGUCAGAGGUGAAACGUGAAGGGUCAGAGGUGAAACAUGAAGGGUCAGAGGUGAAACGGGCCAGAGGUGAAACGUGAAGGUGAAACGUGAAGGGUCAGAGGUGAAACGUGAAGGGUCAGAGGUGAAACGUGAAGGGCCAGAAGUGAAACGUGAAGUGUCAGAGGUGAAACGUGAAGUGUCAGAAGUGAAACGUGAAGGGCCAGAGGUGAAACGUGAAGGGCCAGAGGUGAAACGUGAAGGGCCAGAGGUGAAACGUAAAGUGUCAGAGGUGAAACGUGAAGGGUCAGAGGUGAAACGUAAGGGUCAGAGGUGAAACGUAAGGGUCAGAGGUGAAACGUGAAGUGUCAGAGGUGAAACGUGAAGUGUCAGAGGUGAAACGUGAAGUGUCAGAGGUGAAACGUGAAGGGUCAGAGGUGAAACGUGAAGUGUCAGAGGUGAAACGUGAAGGGCCAGAGGUGAAACGUGAAGGGCCAGAGGUGAAACGUGAAGGGCCAGAGGUGAAACGUGAAGGGCCAGAGGUGAAACGUGAAGGGCCAGAGGUGAAACGUGAAGGACCAGAUGUGAAACGUGAAGGGCCAGAGGUGAAACGUGAAGGGCCAGAGGUGAAACGUGAAGGACCAGAUGUGAAACGUGAAGGGCCAGAGGUGAAACGUGAAGGGCCAGAGGUGAAACGUGAAGGGUCAGAGGUGAAACGUGAAGGGCCAGAGGUGAAACAUGAAGGGCCAGAGGUGAAACGUGAAGGGUCAGAGGUGAAACGUGAAGGGUCAGAGGUGAAACGUGAAGUGUCAGAGGUGAAACGUGAAGGGUCAGAAGUGAAACGUGAAGGGUCAGAGGUGAAACGUGAAGUGUCAGAGGUGAAACGUGAAGUGUCAGAGGUGAAACGUGAAGGGUCAGAGGUGAAACGUGAAGGUGAAACGUGAAGGGUCAGAGGUGAAACGUGAAGGGCCAGAGGUGAAACGUGAAGUGUCAGAGGUGAAACGUGAAGGGUCAGAGGUGAAACGUGAAGGGCCAGAGGUGAAACGUGAAGUGUCAGAGGUGAAACGUGAAGGGUCAGAGGUGAAACGUGAAGGGUCAGAGGUGAAACGUGAAGGGUCAGAGGUGAAACGUGAAGGGCCAGAGGUGAAACGUGAAGGGCCAGAAGUGAAACGUGAAGUGUCAGAGGUGAAACGUGAAGGGCCAGAGGUGAAACGUGAAGGGCCAGAGGUGAAACGUGAAGGGCCAGAGGUGAAACGUGAAGUGUCAGAGGUGAAACGUGAAGGGUCAGAGGUGAAACGUGAAGGGUCAGAGGUGAAACGUGAAGGUGAAACGUGAAGGGUCAGAGGUGAAACGUGAAGGGUCAGAGGUUAAAUAAAGAGUCUGUCUCUGC